ACUGAGUUCGAUGAAUUAGACCCCGAAACCCGGCGAUCUAGGCAUGACCAGGCUGAAGGUGCGGUAACACGCACUGAAGGGCCGAACCGUUGAAUGUUGAAAAAUUCUCGGAUGAGUUGUGUUUAGGGGUGAAAGGCCAAUCAAGCCGGGAAAUAGCUGGUUCUCCGCGAAAUCUAUUGAGGUAGAGCGUCGGAUGAUUGCCGUUGGGGGUAGAGCACUGGAUGGAUGCGGGGUCGCGAGAUCUACCAACUCUAACCAAACUCCGAAUACCAACGAGUCUAGUCCGGCAGACAGACGGCGGGUGCUAAGGUCCGUCGUCAAAAGGGAAACAGCCCUAACCUACAGCUAAGGUCCCCAAGUCAUCACUAAGUGGGAAAGCAUGUGGGAUUUCCAAAACAACCAGGAGGUUGGCUUAGAAGCAGCCAUCCUUUAAAGAAAGCGUAACAGCUCACUGGUCUAAAUAAGAGAUCCUGCGGCGAAAAUGUAACGGGG
rnacentral:rRNA from 1 species